rnacentral:lncRNA from 1 species
UCUGGCCUUUUCAAUUCUAGAUCAUAAUUCGGUUGUUUGACCCCAUUUCGAGUUGACGACUGUUCCAAGGUAUACAUACGCGUCUACGUGUUGAAUUAAUUGGUUUUUUAAAAACAUGCUUUUAAAAAAUUUCCAUUUUAUUCCGUUUUUACAAUAAUUGUUAAUGUGCGGCCUGUUUUGUAUCAAUAUUCAGUUAUAUUUCGAAAUGAAUGUACACAUACAUUAUUUAUUUAUUUUAUUAUAUUUUUAUAUAAUAAUUGAUGUAUGAAACUAGUAUAGAAUUUUUCGAGAUAUAAAGUUAUUAUGGGAGAGUUCUACAUAAUACGUUUCAAGAUGUUGAAUACUUACUUAAAUUUGAUUCAAAGGUAUAAAUAUAGACUUAAUUUUUAAAAAUAUAUACUUUAUACAUAUUAUUAACAUCCAUAAUGAGAUGUCUAAGACCCGUAGAUCAGCUGCUCAUAGUUUGAUAAAAUUGUUUUGUCUACACUGAUCAGAAGGAUAAAUUAUUUAGUAAGCAAACACUAUUUUUAUGUUAAAUAUUUUUUCUUAAAAAUAUGUGAUUUUAAACGUCGAAUUUUUAUAUUUUUUUUUUUAAUCUCAAGUGGUAUGUUUGGUACCUAUGAAAUUAGCUAGAAAUAGUCUUACUAAAUAGUUGAUUGAUGUACCGUGAAAUAGUGUAUAUAGCGACAGUUCUUUGUGUUUUAGUUACCUCAGCUACUGCUGUAUGGUAUGGUACUGCCUUACAAGUUAAUUUACUGGAAAACAAUCAUUCAUUCAUAUUACAAAUAAAUAAAUAUAACUAUUGCUA